rnacentral:rRNA from 1 species
GACGAACCGUGCGAACGUUGUUCGGAAUCACUGGCUUAAAGGGCGCGUAGGCGGCUCGCCAAGUCGGGGGUGAAAUACUUCAGCUUAACUGGAGAAGUGCCUUCGAUACUGGCGGGCUUGAGGGAGGUAGGGGUCUGUGGAACUUCUGGUGGAGCGGUGAAAUGCGCAGAUAUCAGGAGGAACACCGGUGGCGAAGGCGGGUCUCUGGGCCGAUACUGACGCUGAGGAGCGAAAGCGUGGGAAGCGAACAGG